GAUGAAGAACGUAGCGAAAUGCGAUACGUAAUGUGAAUUGCAGAAUUCAGUGAAUCAUCGAAUCUUUGAACGCAUAUUGCGCUCUCUGGUAUUCCGGAGAGCAUGCUUGUUUGAGUAUCAGUAAACACCUCAACUUCCAUAUCUUUUUUGAAAUGGGAGUUGGACUUGAGUGAUCCCAACGCUUUUCCUCACCGAAAAGUGGCGGGUUACUUGAAAUGCAGGUGCAGCUGGACUUUUCUCUGAGCUAUAAGCAUAUCUAUUUAGUCUGCCUAAAAAACAGAUUAUUACCUUUGCUGCAGCUAACAUAAAGGAGAUUAGUUCUUGUGCUGACUGAUGCAGGAUUCACAAAGACAGGCUUCGGCCGACUUUGUAAACUCGAUUUCAAAUCAAGUAAGACUACCCGCUGAACUUAAGCAUAUCAAUAAGCGGAGGA
rnacentral:misc_RNA from 1 species